GUGAGCUGAUGAAAGUCUGUGAUUCGUUGCUACUUUAGCUGCAGGAUUUCAAACAGAACUGAACUGUGCAGUCAAAAUGUUUCUAAUGUUUUCAGAAUCGUUCUGGAGGUUCAUCAUUGUGUCUGUGGGUUUAGCAGCACUCAUAAUAAUUGUUGUGGCAGUCAACAUCUGGACAAGAACUAAAGGGACAAAAACACAGAUGGAUGAAAACACAGUGAAUAAUGAUGAAGAUGAAGAUGAUGGUGUG